GACGAACGCUGGCGGCGUGCUUAACACAUGCAAGUCGAACGAUGAAGCCGGAGCUUGCUCUGGUGAAUUAGUGGCGAACGGGUGAGUAACACGUGAGUAACCUGCCCUUGACUCUGGGAUAACUGCGGGAAACUGUAGCUAAUAACGGAGACGACCCUCGGAGGCCUCUCCUGGGGGUGGAAAGAAUUUCGGUCAAGGAUGGACUCGCGGCCUAUCAGCUAGUUGGUGAGGUAAAGGCUCACCAAGGCGACGACGGGUAGCCGGCCUGAGAGGGUGACCGGCCACACUGGGACUGAGACACGGCCCAGACUCCUACGGGAGGCAGCAGUGGGGAAUAUUGCACAAUGGGCGCAAGCCUGAUGCAGCAACGCCGCGUGAGGGAUGACGGCCUUCGGGUUGUAAACCUCUUUUAGCAGGGAAGAAGCGAAAGUGACGGUACCUGCAGAAAAAGCACCGGCUAACUACGUGCCAGCCGCCGCCGUAA
rnacentral:rRNA from 1 species